GCAGUUUAGCCAAGAAUCAUCCUGACUGGUUUUCACCUCCACAGUCAAUGGGAUGGUGAGUUCAGCACCUCGAGCACACAACGUCAGAAAGGAGGGCCCAUCCUUGAAAACUUCAGAGGAAAAGAGGAACUGGGUGCUACAUCAUCCCUGGCAAAAAGGAGGGCAGUGAUGAGGUCUACCUAGAUAGUGAUGAGAGCUACAGCCACGAAGCAGGGACAUGAAUGCAUGUGGGAGGGGAGGAAGGUGCACAGAAGGACAAGGAGGACUGUUGAACCUUAGAUGAAUCCCUCCCUUUUCUAUGCCUCAGUUUCCCAAACUGUAAACUGUGAAUGACGAAAUCAUCUGGAAACAGUUUUGAGACCCAGUGGUGAAAAAAAACCCUAGGUGUUACUUGUUGCUAAUAUUAUACUAACAGUCCGUCUCCUCAGUAGCACUAGCGGAUAAAGAAUAAAGGGCACCGUGCCAGGAAAAUACUUCUAAUAACGCAGAAGUGCUGUGAGCUUUUCAAAUAAAACUCUCAUUUGGGAGCCAGUGUGCCCAGGAGUCUUUAGCUCUGAACUGAGCAUGCUCCUGGCCUCCAACCAAGUGCUUUGGUGAAGGGUCCCAGCUGCGUGCAGAUGAGCAGGUGAGGAGGGAAACUGGUGAGCAUGACAUCCAUCUGAGAGUGCAGCUCCGCAACAUGCAAACAUGCAGAGUAGGCCAGGGACAG